AUGAUUACCAAUCCAAAAGAGGCUGCAAAUGUCUUCCGAAAACAACUACUAAUUACUGAAGAGCAGGAACAACCCUUGCGUUUCACCUUGGAUCUCAGGGAAGACCUGGAGGAGCAGGAUAGAGAGAUGAUUUCUUUGUACAAGCGACCAAAUGUCAACUGGGCUAGGCCAUUUUCCUGUAUGCUCAGAGGUGAUGCCGCCACAGGUGAAGGGGUGAGCCGUCACAUUCUUAGUACUGCAAUCCUAAAACUGACACAAGGCUUCAGGAUAAACUUUGCUAACACAGACACAACCUUGUUAUUUGAGGGUGAGUCAGAUCAUCUUGUGCCCUCUACAUCCCAAAUUCUUGUGGAAAGUGACAUGUUCCUGAUGGCUGGGAGGAUGGUUGGUCACUCCUUCAUCCAUGGUGGUCCUUGUUUGUCAGGGAUCAGUCCUGCUGUGAUCCAUGUUUUACUUGGGCGGCCAGCUGAAACAGCCACAAUUCAGCUACAAGACUGCCCAGACCUAGAUCAUCGUGCAACUAUACAGUUGGUAUGCGGAGGUUUUCUUUCAUGUCAUUUGUAUGAUUUAAUUUUUUUUAUUUCUAAAAUAACUGUUUCCAACAGCUUGAGGGAGAUGAUGAACUUUCAGAUCAGGACAAGAAGGCUGUCCUAGACUUGGCUCUGUCAUGGGACCUCCCAGGUGUCACAAACAACAAUAGACAUUGGCUGUUCAACCGACUUCUGCAUCAUGCUGUAAGUAAUUUUUUAUUUUUUUUUCCUAUCCUGUUCUCCACAAUUUUAAAAGUAAAUUUGUUUUUGCUUUUUCUAAACAAUUUAAAUCCAUCAUUCAUAAAAUGUUUACAGUUUAUUCUAGUUCAUUCAUUGUAUUCUAUCUUUUACAGUAGUGUAUUUAACAGUAAGUUUACAUGUGUGAUUAUUUGAUUUAAAAAGCAUCAAAUCCACAUAUUAAUAAUUACUUGAUCAUCUAUUGUUGAUGUUUUACAGGUCCUCAGAAGGACCAUUCGUCAAAUUAAACAAUUCAGACGUGGUUUAAAAGACACAAAAGUUUGGUCACUGCUGCUAGAACGUCCAGAUGUUGUCCCUUUGCUCUUCCCCAGAAACUCAGAAGCUGCCUGCUGUGCUCAGGUUUUACAUACAUUUUUGUUCAGUAUUGAAUAAAAUUACAUAAAUUUAUAAAUGUUUAAUGUAUUUUUAAUCUUAAUCAGACUGUUCUGGAUAAUAUCAUAUGGCCUGCUGAGGAAGAAGAUGAUGAUGAUGAUGAUGAUACAUACCCACUUCACAUCAAAUGUCGCAUUGCAGAGUACCUCCCUUGUUUUAUUGAGAGUGGUAUGACAUAUAUUCUUUAGGUUGAAUUUAGAAUUUAGUUAAAAAAAAAAAAAAAGAAUACAACAAAUGUGUUCACUAGAACUUUUGGUUUUCUGUCUUAGCAUGUGUAGGCAAACUUCAGCAACUUGUGAAGUUCUGGGUUGGAUGGGAGCUUCCUUCAGCUGGCAUGAAGGUUAAAGUGAUCUGUGCUGAUCAUCCAAGAUCAUCAACAUGCUUUCAAAUCCUACGACUGCCUGGCCACUACAGUACAUUUCAGGAGUUUACUAUGGAUCUGGAAGCCUGUAUUGCAACAUGUGAUACUGGAUUUGGUUUGAUCUAAAGGGGACAAUCUGUGCCACUUAUGAAUUAGUGUAAGGUUCCUAGUUUGUAAAACAUUCAUAAUGUGCUAGAUUGCAGAGUUCAAAUUUUGUUCUACAAACAACCCCACCUGAUAAGACUGUUCCACAACAAUCAUUAAUGUUAAAUGGCCUAAUAUGUUUAAAAAUACAUUCAUUUUCAUGUCAGUGUUAUUAUUGUGAUUCACAUCACAUAAAUGGGCCAGUUCAUCAAUUUGCUAAUCUUUAUCAUAAAUGUUACUCAGGAAGAAAUUGUUCGAAGACAGAUCUACAAAGAUCCUCACCUGUUUAUGCUGUUCUGGCUCAAUCAUUUAGUAGGCAGUAGCAGAACUGUGAAUAGCAUAUAACAUACAACACCUCAUUUUCUGGAAGACUCAAGACCUGAUGUCCUCCCAGCUCCCACAGCUGAUUUGGAGUCAGAUUUCCCUCUGUACUUAGAGGGUGAUUGUCCCAUCCAUCGUGAAAGGUGUCCAGAUGAGCUUGCAGUCGUGGAAUGAACACGUAGUGACAACAGAAGAGAUGCAUACGAUUUGACAUAUCCAGCUGCCCUUCUUCCUCCAACUGAUGAAGCACAUUGUAGUAGAUGUUUGUGACUGCAACCCAGAUAUCUCUCCAGAGCCUCUCUAUUCUGGUAAUGUAUUAAAUGUUUAGUGACUGCAACCCAGAUAUCUCUCCAGAGACCUCCUCUAUUCUGGUAAUGUAUUAAAUGUUUAGUUACAAAUGCAAUGCACUGAAUAAUUUAGUUAAAUGCAGUGGUUCUCAAACUUUUUGUUUGUAAGGCAGGGAUGAAGACUUAUAAUCUGAAAAAAAAAAAAAAAAAAUUUAAAUUAAAACCAAAAACAUGUUGAAUUAUACAAUGCUUUAACAUCAGUUAUUUUGGUUGGUGUCCUCAUUUUUCUGAUGUUUGAUAGCACAAAAUUUGAUAAAUUUCUAUAUUUCAUAAAAUGCCACAAAAACCGUGGCCCCCCUGGAUCCAUCCAGCUGUCUUCAGCCAUCCUGGUGAACUUUUACCGGUGUGCAAUCGAGAGCAUCCUGACCAGUUUUAUCACAGUCUGGUAUGGAAACUGCUCAGUUGCUGACUGCAAAGGGGGGUGAAAACCGUCCAACGCAUCACAGGGACACCACUUCCUGCUAUUGAGGACAUCCAGAGAAAACGCUGUCUAUGUCAAGCUUGCAGCAUUCUUAAGGACUCCUCUCACCCUGACCAUAGACUGUUUAACCUCCUGCCCUCCGGGAGGCGCUUCAGGAGCCUCCGGACAAGGACCAGCAGACUCAGGAAUAGCUUUUUCCCUACAGCUCUCUCCUAGUAAAGGGUGUUGAAGUAAAGGGUGGUUGAAGCCAGAUUAUUGGUUGCAACAUCUAGGUACAUGAUCUGUGUAACAUUCGAAAAAUAGGCAGUUUUAGUCUAGAGUGUGUGAUUCUGAUAUCAAUACAAUAUGAAAUGGGAAACUCUGCAUGGGUAAACCCAGCUAAAGUCUUUUUUUGUGAUUCAAUAUAUUCUACAUACAAUUAUUCUGAGUACAU
rnacentral:lncRNA from 1 species